GGUUGGUGAUACACGUUUACUCUCAAGGCGGUUAGCAGAUUGAACGGGGUUGUAAAACAGUGUAAGGUGACAUCGCAUUGAAAGAUUGAUAGACAUGUGGGAGCCGCAGGAGAGCGUCUAACUGCAGCUAUGCCACCUCUACUCUGGCCUCUGCUCUUCACUAUUCUCAGCGUCAAGUUUGAAGGUAAACUGUUUACUAUUUAUAUCUAAUAGAAACAGUGUUUUACAGCUCAAAGAAACG